rnacentral:lncRNA from 1 species
GCUUGGAUAGAAUUUGAAAAAAAUAGGCAGGACAGGAGUUUUGAGUAAAAAAAAGGCAGGAUGUGACACUUGCAAAAAAAAAAGUCAGGACGACAAUUUAUGUAAAAAAAAGGCAGGACCGAUUAGAGUGAAAUAUAAAAAGGCAGGACAGAGAUUACAGCUAACAAAAAUGCAGGACAACAUUUUUCAUCCUAGCCCCCC